AGCAGCCGCGGUAAUUCCAGCUCCAAUAGCGUAUAUUAAAGUUGUUGCAGUUAAAAAGCUCGUAGUUGAAUUUCGAGACCGGUUUAUUGGUCGUGCUUUUGUACGUACUGGUAUUAUUGGUUUCUCCUUUCUGACGAAUCUUAAUGCCAUUAAUUUGGUGUUUUGGGGAAUCAGGACUGUUACUUUGAAAAAAUUAGAGUGUUUAAAGCAGGCUCACGCUUGAAUACAUUAGCAUGGAAUAACGGAAUAGGACGUUUGAUUCUAUUUUGUUGGUUUCUAGGAUCGACGUAAUGAUUAAUAGGGAUAGUUGGGGGCAUUAGUAUUCAAUUGUCAGAGGUGAAAUUCUUGGAUUUAUUGAAGACUAACUACUGCGAAAGCAUUUGCCAAGGAUGUUUUCAUUAAUCAAGAACGAAAGUUAGGGGAUCGAAGACGAUCAGAUACCGUCGUAGUCUUAACCAUAAACUAUGCCGACUAGGGAUCGGAUGAUGUUAAUUUUUAAUGUACUCAUUCGGCGCCU
rnacentral:rRNA from 1 species